rnacentral:misc_RNA from 1 species
UUGAAUAAACCUGAUGUGACUGUUAGCUGGCUUUUCGAAGCAUGUGCUCGUCCGUCAUCUUUAAUCUCUCCACCUGUGCACAUUUUGUAGUCUUGGAUACCUCUCGAGGCAACUCGGAUUUUAGGAUUGCCGUGCUGUAAAAGUCAGCUUUCCUGUCAUUUCCAAGACUAUGUUUUUAUAUACACCAAAGUAUGUUUAAAGAAUGUCAUCAAUAGGAACUUGUUUCCUAUAAAAUUAUA